AGAAGCCACAAACCAAGUGAAAUCCUAUUUUCAGUUGGGAGAAAAUCGGGAACUCGAUCCAAGAAACAUGAUUAAGCUUCCACCAUCAAUAUAUAUUUUCUCCCCUACUCGAACUCAGAUCAAAUUAGCAUGGCCAGACUUGAAAUUCUGCCCAAAGAGUCCGAGAACAAGGAUGCCAAGCUCUUUAAUAGUAUUCAGGGACAUUGAUUUUUGUGAAUCAUUUUCCUUUUAAUCACAAAUCGAACAACUUUAUUUGGUGUGUGAAGAGAGGGCACCAGAAUUCAUUGGAAAUGCUACCGUGUUCUUCAUGUUGAUGAUAUUUGGAGGAAUUAAGUAUACUGUGAUUUGAUCAUCACUUGUUGUUUAUAGCAUUACUCGAUAUUUCUAUUUCAGACACUAUUCCACUGGUGAUCGGGGGAAGCGGCAUGACAUCGGGUGAGCGCUCUUCUACAUUUAUAUUUACCCUGAUUAGGCACUCAAUAGUUUAAGAAAUAUAAAGAGAAGAUGAUCAGAGGAAUUGGCUAAAUGAUUGAAGGGUAAAUGAAAAAAAAUUUAUAUUGAAUCACGCUGUUCAAAACUGUACAAAUGGCCAGUGUAUAUAUAGAGGCUAUUCUAGAAGAAUAUAUUUACGUUACGUGCUAUGCAUAAUUACACAAUAGAAAAUGCAACAAAUUUCCUGACAACACAGAAUUCCUCCUUUUCUUCUACAGAAUUCUUAUUCUGCUGUUGUUGGAUCGUUGCCAAUUGCUGAUAUGUCUUGGCUUCCUUCCACUAAUGACUGUUGCUGACUCCUCAAAUCAGUUGCUUGCUGGUUUUCCAAUUCAACAGCUUUGUUAACUUCCAAUAGCCCCUCGCAAGAUAGAGAGUAUAUGUCCAUUAAUCCCAUCUUUAGCAUACAUAAUAAAAGCAUUGAGAGUUUAAGGCUUUGUUUAGAAUGUCUGCAAUUUGUGACCUACUACGAAUGUGCUUAGUAACGAUGUAUC
rnacentral:lncRNA from 1 species